rnacentral:rRNA from 1 species
UCUUAAAAGUUUAAUAAAACUAAUCCGAUCUUGUCGGAUUUUGGAAAAUGUUAGCGCCUGGUUAGUAGUUGGAUAGCAGACUGUCUGGGGAUACAAGGUCAGAU